rnacentral:tRNA from 1 species
UGGCGCGUGGUGUAAUGGUAACACAAAGGACUUUGAAUCCUUCGUUCCAGGUUCGAGCCCUGGCGCGCCAGCCA